rnacentral:rRNA from 1 species
AGCGAACGCUGGCGGCAGGCCUAACACAUGCAAGUCGAACGAACCCUUCGGGGUUAGUGGCGGACGGGUGAGUAACACGUGGGAACGUGCCUUUAGGUUCGGAAUAACUCAGGGAAACUUGUGCUAAUACCGAAUGUGCCCUUCGGGGGAAAGAUUUAUCGCCUUUAGAGCGGCCCGUGUCUGAUUAGCUAGUUGGUGAGGUAAUGGCUCACCAAGGCUACGAUCAGUAGCUGGUCUGAGAGGAUGACCAGCCACAUUGGGACUGAGACACGGCCCAAACUCCUACGGGAGGCAGCAGUGGGGAGUCUUGCGCAAUGGGCGAAAGCCUGACGCAGCCAUGCCGCGUGGAUGAUGAAGGUCCUAGGAUUGUAAAAUCCUUUCACCGGUGAAGAUAAUGACUGUAGCCGGAGAAGAAGCCCCGGCUAACUUCGUGCCAGCAGCCGCGGUAAGAC